GCUUGAUGUCGGAAAGAACUGCAUUUUAAAUCUUCCAAAUCAGAGAACAGCAGAACAGUGUAGAGAAUUCUUCUCCAAGCACAGGAAAUGUCCUAAUGAGAAGUCACUCUCAAUUAUUCCUUGCAGUAAGAACUAUCGCAGCACAGCUGCAAAGUUUGAUCAGCAAUCAACAGUUUCAGCUCCACCACCUAAAUCAUAUGAUGCUCUUUCACCACAAAAUA
rnacentral:misc_RNA from 1 species